CACGUAGGGCGCAAGCGUUGUCCGGAAUUAUUGGGCGUAAAGAGCUCGUAGGCGGUCUGUUGCGUCCGCUGUGAAAACUCGGGGCUUAACCCCGAGCCUGCAGUGGAUACGGGCAGACUAGAGGUAGGUAGGGGAGAAUGGAAUUCCUGGUGUAGCGGUGAAAUGCGCAGAUAUCAGGAAGAACACCCGUGGCGAAGGCGGUUCUCUGGAACGCAACUGACGCUGAGACGCGAAAGCGUGGGGAGCAAACAGG
rnacentral:rRNA from 1 species